UAGGAUUUUUUUAGGAUUUGAUAGGAUUUAUUUAGUUUUUAUUUAGAAUUUGUUUAAGAUUUGAUUAGAAUUUGAUUGGGAUUUAUUUAAAAUUUGUUAGAAUUUGACUAGCAAUUAUUUUGGAUUUGGUUAGGAUUUGACUAAGAAUUGACUAGAAUUUGAUCAGGUUUUGACUAGGAUUUAAUUAAGGUUUCUAUUUUAGUAUAUUUUUGAAUUUCUAUGUUAUUUCUUUAUAAUUCUUUAAAGGAUCUCUAAGAAUAUUUUGUGUUUCUUAUAUAAUUCUUUUGAAAUUUUGAUUGAAUUUGAUCAAUAUUUGAUCAUAUUUGCUAAUCUUUAAUUAUAAUUUUUUUAAAAAUCUAUUAGAGUCAUUAGAACUUAUUGUUGCAAUUUUCCUUUUAUCUUCCACAGCUAAGUGUCUAGGACAUUU
rnacentral:lncRNA from 1 species